GGGAGUUAAAAGGAAAUAGAACUGAAGGAGGGAGUCAUAGUAAAGCAUCUGGAAAACAAAUAGAAACAGAAAGAUAACUACAGAAUAUCACUGUAUAUGAAUGCAUUUCUACUUCUCCUUACUUCUCUCUCAGUAGCCCUGUUUAUCUGGCUACAUUUCUGACGAAAAGAAGCUAAAAUAAAGAGAUGCUCAGACUUUUUUUUUUUUUUUUUUUUUUUUUUUAGGAAAUAAGGGAAAUAAAUUGACAAACAACAGGAGCAGAAAGAAUGGAGACAGCAGCGUGGGCUACAGCCAGAUUUGCUGUUGUGGUAUCAGUUCCACCGUGCAAGGACUAGUCCAGUUCCCCUCCCACGUGAUGCACCUGCAAGCAGAAGGAUGUUCAAGACACGUGGUAACAGACAAGUCAAGCAGUGACGUGGGAGUCUUCUGGCUGAAGCUGCCUUCCUGAAACUAGGAAUAAAA
rnacentral:lncRNA from 12 species